rnacentral:rRNA from 1 species
GAUGAACGCUAGCGGCAGGCUUAAUACAUGCAAGUCGAGGGGCAUCAAGGUACACGAAAGUGUAUUGUUGGCGACCGGCGGACGGGUGAGUAAUAGGUAGGUAACCUACCUCAUACUGAGGCAUAGCUGGGAGAAAUUCCAGGUAAUUCCUCAUGAGGUUAUAUGACACAUGUGAUAUAAUCAAAGGUAUCGCAAGGUACUGGUAUGAGAUGGGCUUACUGACCAUUAGCUAGUUGGUGAGAUAAGAGCUCACCAAGGCGAAGAUGGUUAGGGGUUUUGAGAGAGAGAUCCCCCACGUUGGAACUGAGAUACGGUCCAGACUCCUACGGGAGGCAGCAGUAGGGAAUAUUGGGCAAGUGGGCGGAAGCCUGACCCAGCCAUGCCGCGUGAAGGAAGACGGCCUUAUGGGUUGUAAACUUCUUUACUAUGCGACUAACUAGAUUUACGAGAUAAUUCUAUAGAAUGAGCAUAGACAAAAAGCACCGGACUAACC